UAGUUUUGAAUUUUCGAGUUCCACCUCCAGGCUCCAGUUGAUUGUUGUUUUUGAGUAGUGCAAAGAGCUGCGAUGGCGAAGCUUUGUUAAAUCUCGAUACGAAAGACAAUUUAAGACAUUACUACCUACCGAGUAGCAGUUUCUUAGCAGUACAGAUAGCUGUCAAUCCCGUGCUAAACUAGUCAGCUGGCGAAUUUUCAAAAUCGGAGUGUGCCAUCGCGCAAAACUGUGGCCUGUCGCCAUAUCAAAAACUACUCCACGACCAAAAGCCACCAGCCCCCCACGACGGGGCACCAUUGCAGGGGUCGAUAAUCGGAUGGAGAAGCUGUUAGAGAGUGGAGAGUUAACUGAUGUGCAGUUCUCGGUAGGGCGGAAUUUCGGGCAAGCGAAGAUUUUCAAGGCACACAAGCUCGUGCUGAGCAGCGGCAGUGAUGUCUUUUACACCAUGUUUUUCGGAAGUCUGCCUGAGAAGUGCGAUGGUGCCAUUGAGUUGCCAAAAAUGUCUUAAGAUAUCUCUAUGCCGAUUAUGUGGACGUGACAGCGAAAGAUGUCUUUCCAACAAUGCACUUCGCAC